rnacentral:rRNA from 1 species
UGCYUAACACAUGCAAGUCGAACGAAGAUUGUAGCAAUACNUGUCUUAGUGGCGAACGGGUGAGUAACGCGUUGGUGACCUGCCCCGAAGUGUGGGAUACCAGGUUCGAAAGGACUGCUAAUACCGCAUAAUAUCCAGGAGAUUAGAACCUACUGGAUUAAAGGAUUUAUUCGCUUCGGGAGGGGCCUGCGUCCCAUCAGCUAGUUGGUAGGGUAAUAGCUUACCAAGGCGAUGACGGGUAGGGGACCUGAGAGGGUGGCCCCCCACAAUGGAACUGAAACACGGUCCAUACACCUACGGGUGGCAGCAGUAGGGAAUAUUAGUAAUGGGCGAAAGCCUGAACUAGCAACGCCGCGUGUGCGAUGAAGGCCUUCGGGUUGUAAAGCACUUUUUGAGAGGAUGAGGAAGGACGGUACUCUCAGAAUAAGUCUCGGCUAACUACGUGCCAGCAGCCGCGGUAAUAC